ACAAAACAUCAAGCCAACAGUUCAGGACUAGUCAUUCAAAUGGACUAAAGGUGGGGGAGAAAAAAUAAGAGUGGAUAAAAGAAAGAAAGAAAACAGAGAAAGGUGGGAAAAAAAAAACAAAGGAAGGAAGAGAGAAAAGAGAAUGAGAGGAAGAGAAGGAAGGGGAAAAACAAGAUUGACUUUACAGUAUGAGAUAUACUAUUAUAUAUUGGACCCUUGGUGGGCAGUGCCUAAACAGAGACAACUACAGGUUUCUGGCUGUGGCCACUCUCUGGUGAAACUAAGGGGUUUCUGUGUGGAGGUGCCUAACAGCCACCGUCCAGUUUGGUAGUAUGAUGCCUCUGGCUUCCCUCUAUCACACGUCUUCUUUUCGAGUAAAGGUUUUUCAUAAAUGUGAGCGUGGAAGAAGAAACCAGAUGGUGUCAGAAGCGGAUCCGAAGUGGAACUUUUAGUGACCCUCAGGAGCACUGAAUGAACAUGCAAGGAACCUGCAGGACCCACUUGUGUCCAUUGAUCUCUGGGAGCAGCUGGGAUAAGCUCCUUUUCGGAUUUCAGAGCUCCAUGGACUUGUGUCUUGAGAUCCCUGAGUUUCUUUGAGCAAAUUUCUGAUCCAAAAUGGGUUUGGCAUCAUGGCAGAAACAGGACUGGGUCCACGAAUGGAUUUGAUCCAGGAAUGAACUGGCUUGGAUCCAGUCAGAGGU
rnacentral:lncRNA from 1 species